rnacentral:rRNA from 1 species
UACGUAGGGUGCGAGCGUUGUCCGGAUUUAUUGGGCGUAAAGAGCUCGUAGGCGGUCUGCCGCGUCGAUCGUGAAAACUUGGGGCUUAACCCUGAGCUUGCGGUCGAUACGGGCAGACUAGAGUUCGGUAGGGGAGACUGGAAUUCCCGGUGUAGCGGUGAAAUGCGCAGAUAUCGGGAAGAACACCCGUGGCGAAGGCGGUUCGCUGGGACGGUACUGACGCUGAGACGCGAAAGCGUGGGGAGCGAACAGG